UGUGAUGCUUGGAAUCCAAAUCACUCCACUCUGAUAUCUGCUGACAGCUCAUCAAAUCACACUGAUA
rnacentral:snoRNA from 1 species